rnacentral:rRNA from 1 species
UACAGAGGGUGCUAGCGUUAAUCGGAUUUACUGGGCGUAAAGCGUGUGUAGGCGGUUUGUUAAGUCGGGUGUGAAAUCCCUGGGCUCAACCUGGGAAUUGCAUUCGAUACUGGCAAGCUAGAGUACGGUAGAGGGCGGCGGAAUUCCGGGUGUAGCGGUGAAAUGCGUAGAGAUGCGGAGGAACACCGAUGGCGAAGGCAGCCCCCCUGGGCUAACACUGACGCUCAGGCACGAAAGCGUGGGGAGCAAACAGG